rnacentral:rRNA from 1 species
AAAAGCGACCUCAGUUCGGAUUGAAGGCUGAAAUUCGCCUUCAUGAAGUCGGAAUUGCUAGUAAUGGCAGGUCAGCAUACUGCCGUGAAUACGUUCCCGGGCCUUGUACACACCGCCCGUCACACCAUGAGAGUUGGAGAUACCCGAAGCCUAUGAGCUAACUUUUAGAGGCAGUAGUCGAAGGUAGAAUCAAUGAUUGGGGUGAAGUCGUAACAAGGUAAC